rnacentral:piRNA from 1 species
UGAAAAACCUUUCUGGGAUCUGUGAGC